CCUACGGGUGGCAGCAGUGGGGAAUAUUGCACAAUGGGGGAAACCCUGAUGCAGCGACGCCGCGUGAGUGAAGAAGUAUUUCGUUAUGUAAAGCUCUAUCAGCGGGGAAGAAAAUGACGGUACCUAUCAAGGAAGCACCGGCUAACUACGUGCCAGCAGCCGCGGUAAUACGGAGGGUGCAAGCGUUAUUCGGAAUUAUUGGGCGUAAAGCGGUCGUAGGCGGCAAGGUAAGUCUGAUGUUAAAGCCCGGGGCUUAACCCCGGUUCGGCAUUGGAUACUUUGUAGCUGGAGUGUAGUAGAGGUAAGGGGAAUUCCUGGUGUAGCGGUGAAAUGCGUAGAUAUCAGGAGGAACAUCGGUGGCGAAAGCGGUUUACUGGACCGUAAUUGACGCUGAGGAACGAAAGCGAGGGGAGCAAAUGGGAUUAGAUACCCGUGUAGUC
rnacentral:rRNA from 1 species